rnacentral:sRNA from 1 species
ACUGUCUGUGUCCCAACAGGGGCUGGAGAAUCAGGAAAAAGCACCAUUGUGAAGCAGAUGAAGAUCAUCCAUGAAGAUGGCUUCUCCGGAGAAGAUGUGAAACAGUACAAGCCUGUUGUCUACAGCAACACCAUCCAGUCCCUGGCAGCCAUCGUCCGGGCCAUGGACACUUUGGGCAUCGAAUAUGGUGAUAAGGAGAGAAAGGCUGACGCCAAGAUGGUGUGUGACGUGGUGAGUCGGAUGGAAGACACCGAGCCCUUCUCUGCAGAGCUGCUUUCUGCCAUGAUGCGGCUCUGGGGCGACUCAGGAAUCCAAGAGUGCUUCAACCGGUCCCGGGAGUAUCAGCUCAACGACUCUGCCAAAUACUACCUGGACAGCCUGGAUCGGAUUGGGGCCGCCGACUACCAGCCCACCGAGCAGGACAUCCUCCGAACCAGGGUCAAAACCACUGGCAUCGUAGAAACCCACUUCACAUUCAAGAACCUCCACUUCAGGCUGUUUGACGUCGGAGGCCAGCGAUCUGAACGCAAGAAGUGGAUCCAUUGCUUCGAGGACGUCACGGCCAUCAUUUUCUGUGUCGCACUCAGCGGCUAUGACCAGGUGCUCCACGAAGACGAAACCACGAACCGCAUGCACGAGUCUCUCAUGCUCUUCGACUCCAUCUGUAACAACAAGUUCUUCAUCGAUACCUCCAUCAUUCUCUUCCUCAACAAGAAAGAUCUCUUUGGCGAGAAGAUCAAGAAGUCACCUUUGACCAUCUGCUUUCCUGAAUACACAGGCCCCAAUACCUAUGAAGACGCAGCCGCCUACAUCCAAGCACAAUUUGAAAGCAAAAACCGCUCACCCAACAAAGAAAUAUAUUGUCACAUGACUUGUGCCACAGACACGAAUAAUAUCCAGGUGGUGUUCGACGCCGUCACCGACAUCAUCAUUGCCAACAACCUCCGGGGCUGCGGCUUGUACUGACCUCUUGUCCUGUAUAGCAACCUAUUUGGUAAUGAUUCCAGCACCCACAGAACAGCUUGCGUGCGCGCGCACACACACACGCACACACACACA